rnacentral:rRNA from 1 species
CUUGGCGACCAUAGCGUUUUGGACCCACCUGAUUCCAUCCCGAACUCAGAAGUGAAACGAAACAGCGUCG